rnacentral:rRNA from 1 species
GAUGAACGCUAGCGGCAGGCUUAAUACAUGCAAGUCGUGGGGCAGCAGGUUUGUAGCAAUACAGAUGCUGGCGACCGGCAAACGGGUGCGGAACACGUACGCAACCUCCCUCUUUCUGGAAGAUAGCCCACCGAAAGGUGGAUUAAUACUCCAUAAUAUAUUGAAGUGGCAUCACUUUAAUAUUAAAGCUCAGGCGGAAAGAGAUGGGCGUGCGUCUGAUUAGGUAGUUGGCGGGGUAACGGCCCACCAAGCCUGCGAUCAGUAGCUGAUGUGAGAGCAUGAUCAGCCACACGGGCACUGAGACACGGGCCCGACUCCUACGGGAGGCAGCAGUAAGGAAUAUUGGUCAAUGGACGCAAGUCUGAACCAGCCAUGCCGCGUGGAGGAUGACGGUCCUCUGGAUUGUAAACUUCUUUUCUCUGGGACGAAACCCCCGAUUUCUAUCGGGCCUGACGGUACCAGAGGAAUAAGCACCGGCUAACUCCGUGCCAGCAGCCGCGGUAAUACGGAGGGUGCAAGCGUUAUCCGGAUUCACUGGGUUUAAAGGGUGCGUAGGUGGGCAGAUAAGUCAGUGGUGAAAUCUCUGGGCUUAACCCGGAAACUGCCAUUGAUACUAUUUGUCUUGAAUUCUCUGGAGGUAAGCGGAAUAUGUCAUGUAGCGGUGAAAUGCUUAGAUAUGACAUAGAACACCCAUUGCGAAGGCAGCUUACUACGGAGACAUUGACACUGAGGCACGAAAGCGUGGGGAUCAAACAGGAUUAGAUACCCUGGUAGUCCACGCCCUAAACGAUGAUUACUCGACAUUAGCGAUAUUACUGUUAGUGUCUAAGCGAAAGCAUUAAGUAAUCCACCUGGGAAGUACGACCGCAGGUUGAAACUCAAAGGAAUUGGCGGG